GAUGAACGCUGGCGGCGUGCCUAAUACAUGCAAGUCGAGCGAAUAGAUGAGGAGCUUGCUCCUCUGACGUUAGCGGCGGACGGGUGAGUAACACGUGGAUAACCUACCUAUAAGACUGGGAUAACUUCGGGAAACCGGAGCUAAUACCGGAUAAUAUAUUGAACCGCAUGGUUCAAUAGUGAAAGACGGUUUUGCUGUCACUUAUAGAUGGAUCCGCGCCGCAUUAGCUAGUUGGUAAGGUAACGGCUUACCAAGGCAACGAUGCGUAGCCGACCUGAGAGGGUGAUCGGCCACACUGGAACUGAGACACGGUCCAGACUCCUACGGGAGGCAGCAGUAGGGAAUCUUCCGCAAUGGGCGAAAGCCUGACGGAGCAACGCCGCGUGAGUGAUGAAGGUCUUCGGAUCGUAAAACCCUGUUAUUAGGGAAGAACAAAUGUGUAAGUAACUAUGCACGUCUUGACGGUACCUAAUCAGAAAGCCACGGCUAACUACGUG
rnacentral:rRNA from 1 species